GACGAAGGGGGCUAGCGUUGUUCGGAAUUACUGGGCGUAAAGCGCGUGUAGGCGGUUGUUCAAGUCAGGUGUGAAAGCCCCGGGCUCAACCUGGGAAUUGCAUUUGAGACUGCGUAGCUAGGGUGCGGAAGAGGGAAGCGGAAUUUCCGGUGUAGCGGUGAAAUGCGUAGAUAUCGGAAGGAACACCAGUGGCGAAAGCGGCUUCCUGGUCCAGCACCGACGUUCAGGCACGAAAGCGUGGGGAGCAAACAGG
rnacentral:rRNA from 1 species